CAAAAAGUAGUAUAUAAAUUACAGCUCGCUUACACCGAGUCGAAGGCUCCUAACCCUUUUUGA
rnacentral:tRNA from 1 species